rnacentral:rRNA from 1 species
UACAGAGGUCUCAAGCGUUGUUCGGAUUCAUUGGGCGUAAAGGGCUCGUAGGUGGCGCUGUAAGUCGGGCGUGAAAUUUCGGAGCUUAACUCCGAAACUGCAUUCGAUACUGCGGUGCUUGAGGACUGGAGAGGAGACUGGAAUUCAUGGUGUAGCAGUGAAAUGCGUAGAGAUCAUGAGGAAGACCAGUGGCGAAGGCGGGUCUCUGGACAGUUCCUGACACUGAGGCACGAAGGCCAGGGGAGCAAACGGG